GGAAGCUUGAAAUAAGGUUGAA
rnacentral:miRNA from 1 species